UUCAAUCGCUUGAAUUGUUUACUUUAUUGUGUUUACAAAAAAGUUUAUGAAUGAAUGGCUCUCUUUUCUUGCGAAUUCAGGUGUAUGAUGAGAAAAUGUAUACAUAUGGUAUACAGUCUUCUUUUUGGGGAAAUAACGAGAGAUAGCAUUACUGCUCACAAGUCUCUUUGAUAAGGUGCGAACCCAGUAGCCAGUACAUAGAGCAAAAGUUCUAGUAAAUAAUUUCGUUAAUACUGAAAUAUAUGAGGUAAUCGAAAGAAACUCAAAAGUUGUAGACCUUUACAUCGCCAUUAAUUAAUACAAACUGUUCUAAUAUAUUGUGAACACUGCAAUCUCUGAGUUGUUAUUAGACGAUUUGUAUCUACCAAAAACUUUAUUUUAUCCACAUCGGCUUCAAGAGGCCUUCCGGGACUUGGUGCAUCCUCAAAAUCGGAAUCGCCGGACGAAAUUUUGCAAAUCAAUUUUGGCAUUGGCCAACCAUCUUCUCCGUAUACAUCACAUAAUUUCGCUUUGUUUGAUAGUAAAACAGUAAAAUAUGCCGAAAAUGCUGUUUUCGAUCUUCUAUCUUCGAUAUGGCACCAAACAAAAACUAUUCCAAAAAGCGUCCUUACUAUAUAUCGGUAAAGCGGUUAAGUUGGCUGCGAAAAAUUCAAUGAGAUCGACUGUUGUCAUCAAACGAAAUUACUUAGUGAACGACUGAAUAGUAUUAAAAUAUAUAUUCGACAGUAAAUUUACACUAGUAAGACACUAGAACUUCUAUUGCUUCCGCAGCCAGUCGUAAAUCACUAUAACAAUUCAUCAUCACUAUAUAGCCAUUCAGCGGUAUCCAACGUGCCUUAGGCAGAGGCGA